rnacentral:rRNA from 1 species
UACGUAGGGUGCGAGCGUUAAUCGGAAUUACUGGGCGUAAAGCGUGCGCAGGCGGUUCGUCAAGUCUGAUGUGAAAGCCCCGGGCUCAACCUGGGAAUGGCAUGGGAAACUGGCGAGCUGGAGUGCGGCAGAGGGGGGUGGAAUUCCGCGUGUAGCAGUGAAAUGCGUAGAGAUGCGGAGGAACACCGAUGGCGAAGGCAGCCCCCUGGGCCGACACUGACGCUCAGGCACGAAAGCGUGGGGAGCAAACAGG